rnacentral:rRNA from 1 species
GACGAACGCUGGCGGCGUGCUUAACACAUGCAAGUCGAACGGAAAGGCCCUGCUUUUGUGGGGUGCUCGAGUGGCGAACGGGUGAGUAACACGUGAGUAACCUGCCCUUGACUUUGGGAUAACUUCAGGAAACUGGGGCUAAUACCGGAUAGGAGCUCCUGCUGCAUGGUGGGGGUUGGAAAGUUUCGGCGGUUGGGGAUGGACUCGCGGCUUAUCAGCUAGUUGGUGGGGUAGUGGCUUACCAAGGCUUUGACGGGUAGCCGGCCUGAGAGGGUGACCGGCCACAAUGGGACUGAGAGACGGCCCAGAAUCCUAUGGGAGGCAGCAGGGGGGAAUAUUGCACAAUGGGCGGAAGCCUGAGGCAGCAACGCCGCGUGCGGGAUGACGGCCUUCGGGUUGUAAACCGCUUUCGACUGUAACGAAGCGUGAGUGACGGUAAUGGGUAAAGAAGCACCGGCUAACUACGUG